AACGAACGCUGGCGGCAUGCCUAACACAUGCGAGUCGAACGAGACCUUCGGGUCUAGUGGCGCACGGGUGCGUAACGCGUGGGAACCUGCCCUUAGGUUCGGAAUAACUCCCCGAAAGGGGUGCUAAUACCGGAUAAUGUCUUCGGACCAAAGAUUUAUCGCCUUUGGAUGGGCCCGCGUUGGAUUAGCUAGUUGGUAGGGUAAAAGCCUGCCAAGGCGACGAUCCAUAGCUGGUCUGAGAGGAUGAUCAGCCACACUGGGACUGAGACACGGCCCAGACUCCUACGGGAGGCAGCAGUGGGGAAUAUUGGACAAUGGGCGAAAGCCUGAUCCAGCAAUGCCGCGUGAGUGAUGAAGGCCUUAGGGUUGUAAAGCUCUUUUACCCGGGAUGAUAAUGACAGUACCGGGAGAAUAAGCUCCGGCUAACUCCGUG
rnacentral:rRNA from 1 species